AGUAACGCGUGGGCAACCUGCCUCAUACAGGGGGAUAGCAUCGGGAAACUGGUGGUAAAACCGCAUAAGCGCACGAAGACGCAUGUAUUCGUGUGAAAAGGAGAAAUCUGGUAUGAGAUGGACCCGCGUCUGAUUAGCUAGUUGGAGUGGUAAAAGCACACCAAGGCGACGAUCAGUAGCCGGCCUGAGAGGGUGGACGGCCACAUUGGGGCUGAGACACGGCCCAGACUCCUACGGAAGGCAGCAG
rnacentral:rRNA from 1 species